rnacentral:snRNA from 1 species
AUGUAGGCAAGGGAAGUCGG